GAUGAACGCUGGCGGCGUGCCUAAUACAUGCAAGUCGAGCGAACAGACGAGGAGCUUGCUCCUCUGACGUUAGCGGCGGACGGGUGAGUAACACGUGGAUAACCUACCUAUAAGACUGGGAUAACUUCGGGAAACCGGAGCUAAUACCGGAUAAUAUAUUGAACCGCAUGGUUCAAUAGUGAAAGACGGUUUUGCUGUCACUUAUAGAUGGAUCCGCGCCGCAUUAGCUAGUUGGUAGGGUAACGGCUUACCAAGGCAACGAUGCGUAGCCGACCUGAGAGGGUGAUCGGCCACACUGGAACUGAGACACGGUCCAGACUCCUACGGGAGGCAGCAGUAGGGAAUCUUCCGCAAUGGGCGAAAGCCUGACGGAGCAACGCCGCGUGAGUGAUGAAGGUCUUCGGAUCGUAAAACUCUGCUAUUAGGGAAGAACAAAUGUGUAAGUAACUAUGCACGUCUUGACGGUACCUAAUCAGAAAGCCACGGCUAACUACGUG
rnacentral:rRNA from 1 species